UGGGGAAUUUUGGACAAUGGGGGAAACCCUGAUCCAGCCAUCCCGCGUGUGCGAUGAAUGCCUUCGGGUUGUAAAGCACUUUUGGCAGGAAAGAAACGUCAUGGGUUAAUACCCCGUGAAACUGACGGUACCUGCAGAAUACGCACCGGCUAACUACGUGCCAGCAGCCGCGGUAAUACGUAGGGUGCAAGUGUUAAUCGGAAUUACUGGGCGUAAAGCGUGCGCAGGCGGUUCGGAAAGAAAGAUGUGAAAUCCCAGAGCUCAACUUUGGAACUGCAUUUUUAACUACCGGGCUAGAGUGUGUCAGAGGGAGGUGGAAUUCCGCGUGUAGCAGUGAAAUGCGUAGAUAUGCGGAGGAACACCGAUGGCGAAGGCAGCCUCCUGGGAUAACACUGACGCUUAUGCACGAAGGCGUGGGGAGCAAACAGG
rnacentral:rRNA from 1 species